CAUUACAGAGUUCUCGCCCUCGCGGGUAGACUCCCACCCACUGUUAUUGCUACUGUGUUGCUUUGGCGGGCUGCUAAGCCCAGCCUGGCCGCCGGCUCCAGCUGGCGCGCGCCCGCCAGAGGCCCGAUUAAUUCUGAUUGUCAGUGUCGUCUGAGUACUAUAUAAUAGUUAAAACUUUCAACAACGGAUCUCU
rnacentral:misc_RNA from 1 species